CACACACAAUCACAGAGUCUCCUCUAAGUCAUCAUGAGUUAUUUUAUAAGCUAUUGUUAGCCCCUCUCUCUCUCUCUCUCUCUCUCUCUCUCUCUCUAGUUACAAGACCACUGUUGCUAGGCAACCAGGAAACAUGAACACCAAGCACAUGCUAGCUACUUUAGCUAACUUAGCAAUCCGACGGCACUCAUGUCCCACGAGACCUCAGACAAAGCUACAAAGCAACUACACAUCAAAUCUCGCAGGCAGGACGGAGUGAAAGUUGGCGGUGUAUAGACGUAGACAGCGUUAGCAAAGCUGCGUAUGAACACGCUGUUAAUCGGUCGCUGACCUUCAUGCUGAACGUGAUCGGCUCCAUGACGAACACCCGAUCGGGGAACGUUCCGGCGAUUUCCUCCACGCUCGCAAAGUACUGAACCGGCUCCCGGACAUCCCGGUCCUGAUCCAGCAGCUUAAACUUCCCUACAGAGAGAAGCAGAAUGAGAUAAACCGCAGCAGGGGAUUAUUUUGAGUUAUAUAACACGACCAAUCAGGACCAGUGAGGCAAUACACCAGAGAGAGAGGGAGAAAGAGACACACACACACACACACACACACACAAUGGCCAGGUCACAGAGUGUAGCAAACAUGUGUGAUGUUAAGUGCUCUAAUAGAACAAUCGAUACACUGUUAGCGGAGCAUCACCCCAUCAAUGCCAUUUCCCACACUCUCCCUCUCUCCGCCAUAUGCGUCUUCUCAUUCACUCGCUCCGACUAUUUAUAAAAUCAUCAUUCACGAGUAAAACUGGAUGUCACGCGACAUGGAGUCUUUGGCGUUUUGAGUCAACGGUGUACGAGGUGUGAAAACAGCCGUUCCGAGCGACGUUCCUCAAGGCUCAAGCCUAGGACCUUUGCGUUUCUCGUUUCGAGCGUGUACUUCAUGCUAAACACAGCGUGCUAAUACGGUAAAUUGCUUGUUUUUUCAUCGUUGUGGUAUAUAAUAAGUAGACUUGUGUUUUCGGUUAUUGGUUGUUUUUUUUAAAUAUAAAUAUACAACAAUGAUCCUGACUAGCACAUGAUAGAAAAAAAUAUAAUAAUAAUAAUAAUAAUAAUAAUAAUAAUAAUAAUAAUAAUAAUAAGGCUUUGACUUAAGAAUGAAUUGUUGUGUUGUGUUACUUUUCUAACUUUAUCUUUAACUGCUACUUUGUGUUGUAAGAUGUUUGCUAUAAUUACAGCCAACACAGCCGGCCAAUAAAAUGGUUCUAUGAAAUUAUCGCCAAACUUGCAUUUAACUGAUAGGCAAGCUGUUAGCUAGCUACUACAAAGCUACUAUAAAGCACACCGCUCUUAAUUCUUGCGACUUUCCUACUGAUGGUUUCUCAUGAAGCACCUUCUGGGAUCACCCACCAUGUUUGUGUCUUACCCUGAUAUGGCAGCGGGAUGUCAAUCUUGGGUCCGAUGACGUAAUGCCCCUCCUCAAGCGAGUGGGCGGUGACUGUA